GACGAACGCUGGCGGCGUGCCUAAUACAUGCAAGUUGAGCGCUGAAGGUUGGUACUUGUACCGACUGGAUGAGCAGCGAACGGGUGAGUAACGCGUGGGGAAUCUGCCUUUGAGCGGGGUACAACACUUGGAAACGAAUGCUAAUACCGCAUAACAACUUUAAACACAAGUUUUCAGAUUGAAAGAGGCAAUUGCAUCACUCAAAGAUGAUCCCGCGUUGUAUUAGCUAGUUGGUUGGGUAAAGGCUCACCAAGGCGAUGAUACAUAGCCGACCAGAGAGGGGGAGCGGCCACAUUGGGACUGAGACACGGCCCAAACGCCUACGGGAGGCAGCAGUAGGGAUUCUUCGGCAAUGGACGAAAGUCUGACCGAGCAACGCCGCGUGAGUGAAGAAGGUUUUCGGAUCGUAAAACUCUGUUGGUAGAGAAGAACGUUGGUGAGAGUGGAAAGCUCAUCAAGUGACGGUAACUACCCAGAAAGGGACGGCUAACUACGUGCCAGCAGCCGCGGUAA
rnacentral:rRNA from 1 species